rnacentral:pre_miRNA from 1 species
GUUAUGGGAGUGGAGCUCCUUGAAGUCCAAACGAAGAUCUAACAGGUUAGAUUGAGCUGCUUACCUAUGGAUUCCUCAGCCCUAUCUAUUUACCAUGUUUUAUAUAGAUAGGGUUGUGGGUUUGCAUAUGUCAGGAGCUUCAUUUGUUCUUGUUGGAUCACUUUUUGGAUUGAAGGGAGCUCUACAUUCACCUCCC